rnacentral:rRNA from 1 species
AUGAACGCUGGCGGCGUGCCUAAUACAUGCAAGUCGAGCGAACGGACGAGAAGCUUGCUUCUCUGAUGUUAGCGGCGGACGAGUGAGUAACACGUGGAUAACCUACCUAUAAGACUGGGAUAACUUCGGGAAACCGGAGCUAAUACCGGAUAAUAUUUUGAACCGCAUGGUUCAAAAGUGAAAGACGGUCUUGCUGUCACUUAUAGAUGGAUCCGCGCUGCAUUAGCUAGUUGGUAAGGUAACGGCUUACCAAGGCAACGAUGCAUAGCCGACCUGAGAGGGUGAUCGGCCACACUGGAACUGAGACACGGUCCAGACUCCUACGGGAGGCAGCAGUAGGGAAUCUUCCGCAAUGGGCGAAAGUCUGACGGAGCAACGCCGCGUGAGUGAUGAAGGUCUUCGGAUCGUAAAACUCUGUUAUUAGGGAAGAACAUAUGUGUAAGUAACUGUGCACAUCUUGACGGUACCUAAUCAGAAAGCCACGGCUAACUACGUG